rnacentral:rRNA from 1 species
CAGCAGUAGCCGCGGGAAUACAGAGGGUGCGAGCGUUAAUCGGAUUUACUGGGCGUAAAGCGUGCGUAGGCGGCUUCUUAAGUCGGAUGUGAAAUCCCUGAGCUUAACUUAGGAAUUGCAUUCGAUACUGGGAAGCUAGAGUAUGGGAGAGGAUGGUAGAAUUCCAGGUGUAGCGGUGAAAUGCGUAGAGAUCUGGAGGAAUACCGAUGGCGAAGGCAGCCAUCUGGCCUAAUACUGACGCUGAGGCACGAAAGCGUGGGGAGCAAACAGGAUUAGAUACCCGGGUAGUCCCUGUCUCUUAUAC